rnacentral:rRNA from 1 species
UACGUAGGGUGCGAGCGUUAAUCGGAAUUACUGGGCGUAAAGCGUACGCAGGCGGUUCGUUAAGUCAGAUGUGAAAGCCCCGGGCUCAACCUGGGAACUGCAUUUGAAACUGGCGGGCUUGAGUGUGGCAGAGGGGGGUGGAAUUCCGCGUGUAGCAGUGAAAUGCGUAGAGAUGCGGAGGAACACCGAUGGCGAAGGCAGCCCCCUGGGCCAACACUGACGCUCAGGCACGAAAGCGUGGGGAGCAAACAGG